rnacentral:rRNA from 1 species
GAUGAACGCUAGCAGUAUGCCUUAUACAUGCAUGUCGAACGAAGUGCUUUAUGCACUUAGUGGCAAAUGGGUGAGUAACACGUACUUAACCUACCUUUUAGAUUGGAAUAACCAUGAGAAAUCGUGGAUAAUACCGAAUAUGAUUUAUUUCGCAUGAAAUUAUUUUGAAAGAAGCGUUUGCUUCGCUAAAAGAUGGGGGUGCGCGACAUUAGUUUGUUGGUAGGGUAAAGGCCUACCAAGACUAUGAUGUCUAGCCGAGCUGAGAGGCUGACCGGCCACAUUGGGACUGAGAUACGGGCCCAGACCGCUACGGUGGGGGCAGCAGUAGGGAAUUUUUUCACAAUGAACGAAAGUUUGAUGGAGCAAUACUGUGUGCAGGAAGAAAGGUCUUCGGAUUGUAAAACUGCUGUCGUAAGGAAAGAAAAGCUUUUAGAGGAAAUGCUAAAAAGUUUGACGGUACUUUAUAAGAAAAGUUCAACGGCUAACUAUAGUGCCAGCAGCCGCGGUAAA